rnacentral:lncRNA from 1 species
GGAAAUACAACCCAAACCGGAAUGUCACCAGUCACGAGCAUCUAAAGAAUCCUAACACUAUUACAGGGGCGGUAAUAUACGGAUUAGAAUUCAAUAACAACGGAAGAAAAUACGGUGCCGCGAACGCUGACAGUCACCUGGCACAGCUACGAUAUCAAGAUCUCCAAUCGGCUCAAACCCGCUACCGGAUGAACAAUUACCUGCAUCUGCACAUAUGGUGCAUGGAGUAAAGUGAGUACUCCAACUCAAUGAGUAACAAGAGUAAAUAAUAACUGAGCGGUAAUAAACCACGUAAAGCAAAUCAACAUGCUAUAGGGUACAAUGUAACCAUUGAGAAAAACAGAGAAAACAUGAAAAUCCUUUAGAAAUAUCUUGGCUCAGUUCAAAACCUCUUUUGAAAAUAUCGUUGUUUCCCAACAGUUAAGCAAUUGAAUGCAGAACAGGUAGUGCAAGUCAGAACAAAAGUCAGCUCAUCGGGCAUAAAUAAGUAUGCAUAAUUGAGUUCCUAGGCUCACCCUACAGGCAAUAUUCUUGUUCCUGGUAAGCCAUUGUUACCUUACCCGUUUAUAUCAUACAAUGUCACUGUUACCACUGUCUCAAAUUUAUUCUCUUUAAAAGUAAUCAGACAAUAUCAGAACAGCAAAUAAAUAUCUCAAAAAAUAACACAAAUAACGAAUAAUGCACAAAAGUAUGAAUGCAAUGCAAUGCAUAUGACGGUACACUCUAGUAACUGAUGCGGCAUGCAGCCCGCUCCACUUAUUUAACGUCGACGACGCUCGCUUAGGGUGUAUACAGACUCCGGAGGGGCUCCUACAGCCCAAGCGUAAUAUCAGCAGUAGCGGAGGCAGGGGGCAGAAGGGGGUUCAACCCCCUUCGUCGAAAAAUUACACUGUAUAUAUAAGGCAAAAUCUAUUUUUAACCUCUAUAUAUUAAGUUUUGAACCCCCUUUACACAACCCAAAAGAAUAAUUUAGCGGUCAAAGGGUUCAUAUUCAUAAGGUCAUAGGUUCAAUGCACACUAGCUAUAAAAAAAAAUUUGAACCCCUUCCCGAAGAUUCUGCCUCCGCCACUAAAUAUCAGCCAUGUGUUGGCGUCAAACAUGCUCUCGGCCUCAAUAUCAGUAUAACACCACUACGGCGUGCAGCCCAAAUCAUCCAUAAAUUCAGAAAUCACUAUAACAUUAUUGCGGUGCAUAACCCGAUCCAUGCUCAGCCCAGAUAUUUACAUAAGCCAUUUGGGCAAUAUUAACAUGAAAAUUCUCAGCACAAACGUCAAUAAAAUAUUAUUUAAAUUUUCAAAUCUUAGAAAAACAAUGGCUGAGUUUGCAAAACAAUAUUAGAACUUUGGACCGAGAUCAAAUAAUAUGCAAGUAACGAAAAAAUAAUGAUAUCAAUCCCCGAAGGGUUCACAUAGUUGGCUCGAGGCCCAAACAUGGCAGUCAGCCCACAUUAUGAUGAUAACAAAUAUUUAAGUCAAAUACGCGGUAAAAAUCAACAACUGGGACGGACCAAGUCAUAAUCCCGAAUGAUGCUCUACCCCACACCUAUAUCUGGUGUGCAAGUCACCUCAAUACAGUACUAUGAUGUGCAAAUCCGGGGUUUUAAACCCUGAGGAUAUCAUUUACAAAUAUUACUCACCUCGAACCGGC